rnacentral:rRNA from 1 species
UGGGGAAUUUUGGACAAUGGGGGAAACCCUGAUCCAGCCAUCCCGCGUGUGCGAUGAAGGCCUUCGGGUUGUAAAGCACUUUUGGCAGGAAAGAAACGUCAUGGGUUAAUACCCCGUGAACUGACGGUACCUGCAGAAUAAGCACCGGCUAACUACGUGCCAGCAGCCGCGGUAAUACGUAGGGUGCAAGCGUUAAUCGGAAUUACUGGGCGUAAAGCGUGCGCAGGCGGUUCGGAAAGAAAGAUGUGAAAUCCCAGAGCUCAAAUUUGGAACUGGAUUUGUAACUAACGGGCUAGAGUGUGUCAGAGGGAGAGGGAAUUCCGCGUGUAGCAGUGACAUGCGUAGAUAUGAGGAGGAAAACCGAGGGCGAAGGCAGCCUGCUGGGAUAACACUGACGCUCAUGCAAGAAAGCGUGGGGAGCAAACAGG